rnacentral:misc_RNA from 1 species
AUAAGUGUUAGUCACAGUGUUGGUCGUCCAUUGCUCAGUCUGUCCGUAUUUGCUGAUGAUAACAUCCUUCCAAAGAGCAUGAUCCUCCUUUACGUUUCUUCUAAAUUUAAACAUCCUUAUUUUGGUUUUAAGCCUUUCUCCAACCAAUCAGCCCUAGGAAUAGGGAAAAAAAUUGGAAACAACAAAGAGAGAAGAGUCUCAAGACCAUAAAAAAUCAUCUGG